rnacentral:rRNA from 1 species
UACAGAGGUCCCAAGCGUUGUUCGGAUUCACUGGGCGUAAAGGGUGCGUAGGUGGUUAGGUAAGUCCGAUGUGAAAUCUCCAGGCUCAACCUGGAAAUGGCAUUGGAUACUAUCUAGCUUGAGGAGUGGAGGGGGGACUGGAAUUCUCGGUGUAGCAGUGAAAUGCGCAGAUAUCGGGAGGAACACCGGUGGCGAAGGCGGUUCUCUGGGCCUUACCUGACGCUGAGGCACGAAAGCCAGGGGAGCAAACGGG